rnacentral:lncRNA from 1 species
UGCUGUGCUGUGUCAUGCCUGGUCCAUGGGCUGGGUUGUGCCAGCCUAGGCCCUUAUGGGUCGUGCCAUGCCUGGGCUAUGGGUUGCAAACCCUCAGCCCAGUCCGGCCCCUUCUAAUGGGCUGUGCCUAGCACAGUCCAUUAUUGUAGCUAACCAGUCGGGCCUGGCAUGGCCUGUUUUGUGCCAGGCUGGGUCAUGUAAUGGGUGGCCUGGCCCGUUACCCAUGUCUA